ACGGGAGGCAGCAGUGGGGAAUAUUGGGCAAUGGGCGCAAGCCUGACCCAGCAACGCCGCGUGAAGGAAGAAGGCCUUCGGGUUGUAAACUUCUUUUAUCAAGGACGAUAAUGACGGUACUUGAUGAAUAAGCCACGGCUAACUACGUGCCAGCAGCCGCGGUAAUACGUAGGUGGCAAGCGUUAUCCGGAUUUACUGGGUGUAAAGGGCGUGUAGGCGGGAUCGCAAGUCAGAUGUGAAAAUUAUGGGCUCAACCCAUAACCUGCAUUUGAAACUGUGAUUCUUGAGUGAUGGAGAGGUAAGUGGAAUUCCCAGUGUAGCGGUGAAAUGCGUAGAUAUUGGGAGGAACACCAGUGGCGAAGGCGACUUACUGGACAUUAACUGACGCUGAGGCGCGAAAGCGUGGGGAGCAAACAGGAUUAGAUACCCUGGUA
rnacentral:rRNA from 2 species